rnacentral:rRNA from 1 species
GAUGAACGCUGGCGGCGUGCCUAAUACAUGCAAGUAGAACGCUGAAGGAGGAGCUUGCUCUUCUGGAUGAGUUGCGAACGGGUGAGUAACGCGUAGGUAACCUGCCUGGUAGCGGGGGAUAACUAUUGGAAACGAUAGCUAAUACCGCAUGACAACAGUUAUUGCAUGAUAACUGUUUAAAAGGGGCAACUGCUCCACUACCAGAUGGACCUGCGUUGUAUUAGCUAGUUGGUGAGGUAACGGCUCACCAAGGCGACGAUACAUAGCCGACCUGAGAGGGUGAUCGGCCACACUGGGACUGAGACACGGCCCAGACUCCUACUGGAGGCAGCAGUAGGGAAUCUUCGGCAAUGGACGGAAGUCUGACCGAGCAACGCCGCGUGAGUGAAGAAGGUUUUCGGAUCGUAAAGCUCUGUUGUAAGAGAAGAACGAGUGUGAGAGUGGAAAGUUCACACUGUGACGGUAUCUUACCAGAAAGGGACGGCUAACUACGUG